UACGUAGGGUGCAAGCGUUGUCCGGAAUUAUUGGGCGUAAAGAGCUCGUAGGCGGUUCGUCGCGUCGGCUGUGAAAACCCGGAGCUCAACUCCGGGCCUGCAGUCGAUACGGGCGGACUUGAGUGUUGCAGGGGAGACUGGAAUUCCUGGUGUAGCGGUGAAAUGCGUAGAUAUCGGGAGGAACACCAGUGGCGAAAGCGGCGCUCUGGGCCUAAACUGACGCUGAGGGGCGAAAGCGUGGGGAGCGAACGGG
rnacentral:rRNA from 1 species